rnacentral:tRNA from 1 species
GCAACGAUAGUUCAGUGGUAGAAUCCUUGCCUUCCAUACAGGAGAUCCAGGUUCAAUUCCUGGCCAGUGCA